rnacentral:rRNA from 1 species
AUUGAACGCUGGCGGCGUGCCUAACACAUGCAAGUCGAGCGGUAACAGGUGUAGCAAUACAUGCUGACGAGCGGCGGACGGGUGAGUAACGCUUGGGAAUCUGCCUAUUAGUGGGGGACAACCCGGGGAAACUCGGGCUAAUACCGCAUACGCUCUACGGAGGAAAGCCGGGGACCGCAAGGCCUGGCGCUAAUAGAUGAGCCCAAGUCGGAUUAGCUAGUUGGUAGGUAANGGCCUACCAAGGCGACGAUCCGUAACUGGUCUGAGAGGACGACCAGUCACACCGGAACUGAGACACGGUCCGGACUCCUACGGGAGGCAGCAGUGGGGAAUAUUGGACAAUGGGCGAAAGCCUGGUCCAGCGACGCCGCGUGGGUGAAGAAGGCCUGCGGGUU